GUGAGUUCGAUGAAGGGCGUAUGGUGGAUGCCUAGGCAUAAUAUGGCGAUGAAGGACGUGGCGUGGCUGCGAUAAGCCUCGGUGAGCUGCUCAGCAAGCUUUGACCCGGGGAUUUCCGAAUGGGGAAACCUGGUAGAGUAAACCUCUAUCGCCUUGGUCCGUAAGUGGCCAAAGGAGUGCACCCGCUGAAGUAAAACAUUUCAGUAAGCGGAGGAACAGAAAAAAAGCACGCAAGUGUUAUUCCCGUAGUAGCGGCGAGCGAAAUGGGAACAGCCCAAACUGAACGGUUUUUAACCGUUUGGGGUAUAGAUUCGAACCGUUUUGCUUUUCUCACAGCACUCAGUGUUGUGAGAUUAGUGAAACAGGGAGUUACAAAAUUUUCACCUAGCAGAAGCUUCUGGAAAGGAGCACCAAAGAGGGUGAUAGUCCCGUAAGCGAAAGGUAAAAAUCUCUCGUUCGUUUUUCUUGAGUAACUCGAGGCAAAAAAACCUUGAGUGAAGACAGCAGUACUAUCUGCUAAGGCUAAAUACAUAUUAUGACCGAUAGUGAACUAGUACCGUGAGGGAAAGGUGAAAAGCAUCCCGGUGAGGGAGGUGAAAUAGUAUCUGAAACCAUAUGCUUACAAGGAGACGGAGCCUUAAUCCGGCAUGAGCCGGACGGGUGACGUCGUGCCUAUUGAAGAAUGAUCCAACGAGUUUAGAUGGAUGGCAGGGUAAGUGGCGCAGCCAUGGACCCAUAGGGAAACCGAGUGUGAAUAGCGCGAACAAUAUGUCGUUUAUCUAAGACCCGAAGCUAGGCGAGCUUGCCUUGAGCAGGGUGAAGCGGGAGUAAAAUCCCGUGGAGGCCCGAACCGGUAGAUCGUGUAAAGUCUUCGGAUGACUUGAGGUAAGGAGUGAAAAGCUAAUCGAGCCUAGUAAUAGCUGGUUCUCUCCGAAACAGUUUUAGGACUGGCGGUGAUGAAAAAUAUAAUGGGGGUAGAGCUACUGGUUGAGAGUCACAGGGCGAAAGCUCGGGCUUUCAGUCAAACUCCGAAUACCAUUAUGUAUGCGUCACUAGUUAGUACGUGGGGGACAAGCUCCAUGUACGCAAGGGAAACAGCCCAGACCAUCAGCUAAGGUCCCCAAAUCUUUG
rnacentral:rRNA from 1 species